CACCAUUUGGAAGGAAGACUAACCGCUUCUCUCCAUUAUUUGCUAUUUGGUUGGAAGUUAGCCAGAAACUUCAGUUUUCUUAUAUAAUAGGGUUCAAUACUUCAACCUACUAAAAAAUCUUAAAAUUUUCUAAAUACUCUCAAGAACAAAUCUUGGGGAAAAGAUUAGGUCUUUUCUUUUUUACCAAAUCUCUAUAAUUCUUGGUAUUUUCUCUCUACCCCUUAACUCUUUAUUUUCUGCACUCUUAAUUUUCAUUGCUAAUUU
rnacentral:lncRNA from 1 species